rnacentral:lncRNA from 1 species
UUUUUUUUUGGUCACUAUCAAGUUUUUAUUGUUUAGUAAAUCAACAAAACCAUAUCAUGCAAUCACAAAUUUAGUACAAAAUCAUUUUUUUUCUUAGGGAUAAUAAAUGCUCUCAUCGUUCUAUAUUAGUUGUUCAUGAUUUAGCACAACUUGAUUUAGCACAAAGACGUACUAAAUCAUCGAGAACUAAUAUGAAACGUAGGGAGUAAGUUUUUCUUUUGUUUUGGAAAAAUUUCCUAAGCAACCAAACAAGGCCUAAAGAAGUUUUCAGGACCGUCAUGUUUUUGUGAGUUGAUUGGCAUUGUCUGCGAGAAACGUUCCUGGUUCCAUGGAUGUAUGUAAUACUCCCUCCUGAAAGGAUCGAUAUGGUUGACUAGAGGGCGGGGGGUGAAUAGGCAACUAACAAUUUUUAAGCUUUUCUUUAACAAUUUAAACCUUGCAACAAAAUAGGUUGUCUAGAUAUGCAACUAUGUAGACAACCUAUAUGAUGCAAAGACAACUAGCACACAAGCAAGCAAUAGAUGCAACACAAGUAAGCUUGCAAAAGUAAAGGCACGAAAUAACCAAGAGUGGAGCCGGUGGAGACGAGGAUGUGUUACCGAAGUUCCUUCCUUUUAAGGGGAAGUACGUCUCUGUUAGAGCGGUGUGGAGGCACAAUGCUCCCCAAGAAGCCACUAGGGCCACCGUAAUCUCCUCACGCCCUCACACAAUGCGAGAUGCCGUGAUUCCACUAUUGGUGCCCUUGAAGGCGGCGACCGAACCUUUACAAACAAGUUUGGGGCUAUCCCCACAACACUUGGAGGCUCCCAACAACACCACGAAGCUUCACCACAAUGGAGUAUGGCUUCGAGGUGACCUCAACCGUCUAGGGUGCUCAAACACCCAAGAGUAACAAGAUCCGCUAGGGAUUAGUGGGGGAAUUAAAUUUCUCUUGGUGGAAGUGUAGAUCGGGGCCUUCUCAACCAAUCCCGAGCAAAUCAACAAGUUUGAUUGGCUAGGGAGAGAGAUCGGGCGAAAAUGGAGCUUGGAGCAACAAUGGAGCUUUUGGGGGAAGAGGUAAGUCAACUUUGGGGAAGAAGACACCUUUAUAUAGUAGGGGAAACAAUCCAACCGUUACCCCCCCCCCAAAGAGCCACGCACAGAGCGGUACUACCGCUUGGGUAGGACGGUACUACCACUGAUAAGCGGUACUACCGCUCCCUCCCAGCGGUACUGCCGCGCUGACGAGGGAUGCAGGGUCCUGGCCCCAGAGCGGUACUACCGCGGAAGUAUUGGCGGUACUACCGCUUGGAGCGGUACUACCGCCACUACUACCGCUACUAGUACCGUAAAACCCGACACGAAAAACAGCGGUCGAGAGUCGAGGCGGUAGUAGCCCAGAACCACUACGGUACUACGGCCGAAGACCCCAAGCGGUACUACCGCUCGGGGAGCGGUACUACCGCUUGACAUGCUUCGGCGGUACUACCGCUGAGGACCGCGGUACUACCGCUGGGACAGGACAGGCAGGCACAGAUAGGAAAGAUAGCUCCAAUGAAGCGGAAAGAAGCAUCGGGUGUGAUAAGGAUGUGUAUGUGUUGAUUCCAUCCUGGCCUUACCAAAGCGGAUCCCCUCUUGAUAGUACGGUGACUCCUACAAAACUAGACCACCAGCAGAGAAACGAAGGAGCUACACCGUCUUGAAUAAAACACCGAGGGGAGGUAAUCGUCUCGUGCCAAAGGAUGAAUCUCUGAAAGAACUCAACGCACAUGAUUAGUCCGCAAAAGCAUUGUCAUCAAUCACCAAAACAUCUUGGGGAUAAAUAUGCCCUUACAAUCUCCCCCUUUUUGGUGGAUUGAUGACAAUACGUGAUUUGCACAAACAGGAAAGAUAUAGGACAAGCGCAAAACCCCACCGUCCUAAAAUGUAGAUGGGCUCCCCCUAGAUGUGUGCUGUCUAGAUAAGUGCUUUGGACUGCACGGCACAGAUACCAGGAUCAACGCUCCCCCUACAUUUUAGAGACCAACUACCUAAGCAGGGUAUAUGAGAGCAACAUAGAUAACAGGAUAAGCAUGCAACUCAUAAGCUAGAUAGACAUAGAUAAUGAUACUCGAAAGAUAAGGUAGCAUAUGUCUCACACCAUAUGACUAGAACUUAGGUCUCACUGACACAAACCAAACAAGGCAAACUGCGAGAAAACACAGAAGACGGAAGACACAACACAAAUCCCUAAACUCUCUCCCCCUUUGGCAUCGAGACACCAAAAAGGAGAGGGAGUGUUGCUACGGCUCCAGGUGAUAGCAAGAGAGGGACUCAAAUAUCAGGUCUCAGCGGGAUCGUCUGCGCCACCGUCGUCGGUCGGGAAGUGCUCGGCAUCAGAAUCGGUCCACGGGCAGUGCUGCUGAAUCCACUCCUCCUCCUCGGUAAGCUGGUCCUCAGAUCCACUAUUAACGGUGGCACCCAACUGAUGCAUGAUCUCCUUGUGACGACUACGGGCCUUCUUCUCAGCCACAUGAGUCAUGUACUGACCGUGAGACUCCAUGCAGAACAGCUUCUUCAUCUUGAGCUUGAGCUUCUUUGCCCAAGAGGGCUUUGCCGCAGAAGGCACAUAGUCAUCAUCAUCCUCAGCCUCAGCCUCCUCCUCGAUCUCCAUGGCAGUAGCAGAUGAAGGACUUCCAGAUUUAGGGACCUGAGUGCCCCAGUUGUCCUUCUUCCUCAGACACUUGAUGUCGUGAGAAACCAACUCUCUAGUCUCUAGCAUCACCUUGGGAUAGACACGAUCCCAGGCCUUCUUGAUAAGCAGCAUGAUGAACGGACCAUAAAUCGGGCACUUGCGCUCGGAGAUAGCAGAUAAAAGCUCAGACCACAUAACAUGAGAUAUAUCCAGGGACUCUCCGAUGUUUUGUUCCUUCUCACGCUGGCAGAAGAGAAGCAUGUCCACGAGAUAAGAAUGAACCAUAUCCAGAUUCCCGAUGCGAGGGAAAAGAGUCUCACGGAAGACAUGGUGAAGAAUGUCCAGAAAGGCAGGCAGCUCAUACGUUUCCUUCUUCGUCUCAGGGUUGAUCUUCAAAGUGUAGUAGGGCCAUAGAGCUUGCUUGUGAGUGGAGGCGGUGUUGCGGUGUGGGCGAAAGCCGACAAGAGACGCAAGCCCUUGAUCUUCCACCCCAAUCAAUUCCAUGAACGCCUUCCACUUGACUGAAAGCAACUUGCCAUUGGUCAUCCAAGUUAGUGUCCUGUCCUCAUCAGUCCCGAGAUGAACCAUGGCAUAGAAUUGGGCCACAAUAUCAGCAUCAUAAUCUUUGUUGAAUUGCAUGACACCAAGAAUGUUCAGUUGAGUGCACAUCUGAAGAGCUUCACCAAAGUAUUCAGGAUCCUUCUCCAUAUGGUCAGUGUCGAUGGAGUGCACGUUAACAAAGAGGUUCUUCUUGGCCUUGAGUACAUAAAAGAAGAUGGCAAACUGAAACCUGUUCCAAAACGGACGGUUGACCAAAGUGGGAUCUUGGUCUGCCUCAUAGGGGUUGCGGCGACGUCUUGCCCAGAACUCCUUGGCUUGCAUUUCUGGCAUAGUUUUUCCAGAUUGCUUCGGCUUGACAGCAGAUUUCUUCUGGAGUUGAGGUGGAGGUGGAGCGCUUGAGGAACCUCCUGCAGACUCAGUUGUGCGGUAACGUUUUGACGUGGCACGACCGGGGUUGAUACGCCGAGCCUGAUGCUCAGGAAGCUCAUCACCUGGAACCACACACAAGAACACGCAAACAACCAGAAAGAAUGAGCAUAAGCCACCAAACACAACCAAAAAGGAUCACUGAUUAGUAAGAGUAUGGUGGAACCUGGUAGAGGGCGGUAGUACCGCGACCUGUGAGCGGCAGUACCGCUCCAAGCGGUAGUACCGCUCCAGAGGGAGCGGUAGUACCGCUCGAGACGGGAAAACAGCAGUUUCCUACUGCCGUGGUCAGAUCCGGCACUACUGUCCUACCAAAUUCAAAAAUACUUCUACCAAACACCAAUCCAAACUGCCUAGAUGCCUUCUACAUCCUACUCAAGCCUAGAUUUGGCCAAAAAUCUAGAGAUGCAACUACUAUUGCCCCUAAGAUGCUAGAUUGGAAAUCUAGACAAGAAGAGAGAGGGAACGGGGGCAAUACCGGCAUCCAUGGCAAGAUGACAAGGUGGGGAUCGUCUCCACCGAAGGAAAUGGAGAGGAGCGCCCCGGAGAGGGAGAACCGUCGGAGCCCUCCCGCGGCGCCGGUUGCUGGAGAGACGAACAGAGCGAGGGGGCGAGCGAAUGGGUAUGGGGGAGAAGAAAAACUCCCCCUGCCCCUGAUAUAACCCCCUGCCCCCGCCUCGCAGCAGUAGUACCGCGCUGGUGGGCGGUAGUACCGCUUAGAGCGGUAGUACCGCACACCACCAGUGGUAGUACCACUCAGCAACCAACAGGCCUCUAGACACACGGCUCUAGCUCAAAAAGGAACAGAAAACACAGCCAAGAAGGAGGAAAGACCAACACGGCCACAAACACACUAACAACGGACCAGAACACACCUCUUCAAGAGAGGGCGGUGGCCGAGGCCACCUAUGUUUGAGUCAAGAGGUAUGGCGUCGCGAAGAUUUUAACCUUGGACCCAUGACCAAAACUCGUCCUUGAAGCACCAGUACCAUAAAAUGGUUAAAGUGAAAGACUAGAUCAAUUUAUGCAUAAUGGGGGGAGGGAGAGUUCAUUGAGAGAGCAACACUCCCCCUAUGUCCAUGCCUACAUCUAGACUAGACAACAAGUAGAGUGAGGAGGGGUGUGCACGGGCUCAAGUCACAUUGCUCGAAUCAAUGAUAUUUAGCUCAUGCCUUAACUCGUGAAAUCUUGCUUCAUCCAAGGGCUUCGUGAAAAUAUCUGCAAGGUUAUCAUGAGUGUUGACAUACUUGAGCUCGAUCUCCCCUCGCCUAAUGUGAUCCCAGAUGAAGUGAUACUGAAUCUCAAUAUGCUUCGUCUUGAAAUGUUGCACCGGGUUGAGAGAAAUCUUGAUGGCACUUUCAUUGUCACACCAAAGAGGCACUUUGUCACAAAUGACACUGUAUUCCUUUAAAGUUUGCCUCAUCCAUAAGAGUUGUGCACAACAACUACCGGCCGCCACAUAUUCCGCUUCGAUGGACGAGAGAGACACACAACUUUGCUUCUUGGAAGACCAACUUGUUGGGGAGCGUAGUAAUUUCAAAAAUUUCCUACGCACACGCAAGAUCAUGGUGAUGGCAUAGCAACGAGAGGGGAGAGUGUUGUCUACAUACCCUUGUAGACGUAAGCGGAAGCGUUAGCAUAACGCGGUUGAUGUAGUCGUACGUCUUCACGGCCCGACCGAUCAAGCACCGAAACUACGGCACCUCCGAGUUCUAGCACACGUUCAGCUCGAUGACGUCCCUCGAACUCCGAUCCAGCCGAGUGUCGAGGGAGAGUUCCGUCAGCACGACGGCGUGGUGACGAUCUUGAUGUUCUACCGUCGGAGGGCUUCGCCUAAGCACCGCUACGAUAUUAUCGAGGUGGACUAUGGUGGAGGGGGGCACCGCACAUGGCUAAUAGAUCCAAGGGAUCAAUUGUUGUGUCUUUGGUGCUAGCCCUGCCCCUCUAUUUAUAUGUUGAGCCCCGGGGUCGAAACUUGGAGCAAAAGCCUCCUCAAAGUCGGUUUUGCCCGAAAGGCAAGAGUCCCACUCGGACUCCAGGACCAAACGCCACAAUCCUUGGCGUCUGGCCCAGACGCCAUGGGCCUCGGCGUCUGGCCCAGGACCAGACGCCAGGGUCUCCGGCGUUUGGCCCCCUGGCCUCCGCAAAACUCCUUUUGCACCGACCUAAAGCCUCAUGGGCUUGACCCCUUGGCCUAACCAUAUCAUCCAAUAUAUGAAUCUUUACGUCUCGACCAUUUCGAGACUCCUCGUCAUGUCCCCGAUCUCAUCCGGGACUCCGAACUCCUUUGGUACAUCAAAACAUGUAAACUCAUAAUAUAACUGUCAUCGAAACCUUAAGCGUGCGGACCCUACGGGUUCGAGAACAAUGUAGACAUGACCUAGAACUAUUCUCGGUCAAUAACCAAUAGCGGAACCUGGAUGCUCAUAUUGGCUCCUACAUAUUCUACGAAGAUCUUUAUCGGUCAAACCGCAUAACAACAUGCGUUGUUCCCUUUGUCAUCGGUAUGUUACUUGCCCGAGAUUCGAUCGUCGGUAUCCAAUACCUAGUUCAAUCUCGUUACCGGCAAGUCUCUUUACUCGUUACGUAAUGCAUCAUUCCGUAACUAACUCAUUAGCUACAUUGCUUGCAAGGCUUAUAGUGAUGUGCAUUACCGAGAGGGCCCAGAGAUACCUCUCCGACAAUCGGAGUGACAAAACCUAAUCUCAAAAUACGCCAACCCAACAUGUACCUUUGGAGGCACCUGUAGUACUCCUUUAUAAUCACCCAGUUACGUUGUGACGUUUGGUAGCACCCAAAGUGUUCCUCCGGUAAACGGGAGUUGCAUAAUCUCAUAGUUACAGGAACAUGUAUAAGUCAUGAAGAAAGCAAUAGCAACAUACUAAACGAUCAAGUGCUAGGCUAACGGAAUGGGUCAUGUCAAUCACAUCAUUCUCCUAAUGAUGUGAUCCCGUUAAUCAAAUGAGAACUCAUGUCUAUGGCUAGGAAACUUAACCAUCUUUGAUUCACGAGCUAGUCAAGUAGAGGCAUACUAGUGACACUAUGUUUGUCUAUGUAUUCACACAUGUAUUAUGUUUCCGGUUAAUACAAUUCUAGCAUGAAUAAUAAACAUUUAUCAUGAUAUAAGGAAAUAAAUAAUAACUUUAUUAUUGCCUCUAGGGCAUAUUUCCUUCAGUCUCCCACUUGCACUAGAGUCAAUAAUCUAGUUCACAUCAUCAUGUGAUUCAACACCAAUAUUCACAUCUGUAUGUGAUUAACACCCAUAGUUCACAUCGUCAUGUGAUCAACACCCAAAGGGUUUACUAGAGUCAAUAAUCUAGUUCACAUCGCUAUGUGAUUAACACCCAAAAGAGUACUAAGGUAUGAUCAUGUUUUGCUCGUGAGAGGAGUUUAGUCAACGGGUCUGUCACAUUCAGAGUCGUAUGUAUUUUGCAAAUAUUCUAUGUCUACAAUGCUCUGCACGGAGCUACUCUAGCUAAUUGCUCCCACUUUCAAUAUGUAUCCAGAUUGAGACUUAGAGUCAUCUGGAUCGGUGUAAAAAGUUUGCACCGAUGUAACUUUUACGACGAAUUCUUUUAUCACCUCCAUAAUCGAGAAACAUCUCCUUAGUCCUCACUAAGGAUAUUCUUGACCGCUGUCCAGUGAUCUACUAUUAGAUCAAAAUUGUAUUCCUUUGCCAAAUUCAGAGCAAGGUAUACAAUAGGUCUGGUUCACAGCAUAGCAUACUUUAUAGAACCUAUGACUGAGGCAUAGUGAAUGACUUUUCAUUCUCUUUCUAUUUUCUGCAAUGGUCGGGUCUUGAGUCUUACUCAACUUCACACCUUGUAACACAGGCAAGAACUCCUUCUUUGACUGUUCCAUUUUGAACUAUUUCAAAAAUUUAUCAAGGUAUGUACUCAUUGAAAAAUCUUAUCAAGCGUCUUGAUCUAUCUAUAUAGGUCUGGAUGCUCAAUGUGUAAGUAGCUUUACUGAGGUCUUUCUUUUAAAGAACUCCUUUCAUAUACUCCUUUAUGCUUUCCAGAAAAAUUCUACAUCAUUUCUGAUCAAUCAAUAUGUUGCUCACAUAUAUUUAUCAAAAAGGCGGUAGUGCUCCCACUCACUUUAUUGUAAAUACAGGCUUCACCGCAAGACUGUAUAAAACUAUAUGCUUUGAUCAACUUAUCAAAUCGUAUAUUCCAACUCUGAGAUGCUUGCACCAGUCCAUAGAUGGAUCGCUGGAGCUUGCAUAUUUUGUUAGCACCUUUAGGAUUGACAAAACCUUCUGGUUGCAUCAUAUACAACUCUUCUUUAAGAAAACCAUUAAGGAAUGCAGUUUUGACAUCCAUUUGCCAGAUUUCAUAAAAUAUGGCAAUUGCUAACAUGAUUCGGACAGACUUAAGCAUCGCUACAGUUGAGAAAAUCUCAUUGUAAUCAACACCUUGAACUUGUCGAAAACCUUUUUGCGACAAGUCGAGCUUUGUAGAUAGUAACACUAAUAUCAACGUCUGUCUUCCUCUUAAAGAUCCAUUUAUUUAACAUGGCUUGCUGAUCAUCGAGCAAGUCAAUCAAAGUCCAUACUUUGUUCUCAUACAUGGAUCAUAUCUCAGAUUUUAUGGCCUCAAGCCAUUUCGUGGAAUCUGGGCUCAUCAUCGCUUCCUCACAGUUCGCAGGUUCAUCAUGGUCUAGUAACAUGACUUCCAGAACAUGAUUACUGCACCACUCUGGUGCGGAUCUUACUCUGGAAGACCUACAAGGUUUGGUAGUAACUUGAUCUGAAGUUUCAUGAUCAUCAUCAUUAACUUCCUCACUAAUUGGUGUAGGAAUCACUCGAACUGAUUUCUGUGAUAAACUACUUUCCAACAAGGGAGUAGAUAUAGUUACCUCAUCAAGUUCUACUUUGCUCCCACUCAAUUCUUUCGAGAGAAACUCCCUCUCUAGAAAGGAUCCAUUCUUAGCAAGAAAUGUUUUGCCUUUGGAUUUGUGAUAGAAGGAGUACCCAACAGUUUCCUUUGGGUAUUCUAUGAAGACGCACUUCUCCAAUUUGGGUUCGAGCUUAUCAAGUUGAAAACCUUUUUCAUAUAAGCAUCGCAACUCCAAACUUUAAGAAACAACAUCUUAGGUUUACUGCUAAACCAUAGUUCAUACGGUGCCAUCUCAACGGAUUUAGAUGGUGCCCUUUUAACGUGAAUGCAGCUGUCUCUAAUGCAUAACCCCAAAACGAUAAUGGUAAAUCAGUAAGAGACAUCAUAGAUCGCACCAUAUCCAAUAAAGUGCGGUUACGACGUUCGUACACACCAUAACGUUGUGGUGUUCCAGGUGGCGUGAGCUGUGAAACUAUUCCACAUUGUUUUAAUUGAAGACCAAACUCAUAACUCAAAUAUUCGUCUCCGCGAUCAGAUCGCAUAAACUUUAUUUUCUUGUUACGAUGAUUUUUCCACUUCACUCUGAAAUUCUUUGAACCUUUCAACUAUUUCAAACUUAUGUUUCAUCAAGUAGAUAUACCCAUAUCUGCUCAAAUCAUCUUGUGAAGGUCAGGAAAUAACGAUACUUGCCACGAGCAUCAACACUCAUUGGAUCGCAUACAUCGGUAUGUAUUAUUUCCAAUAAGUCAGUAGCUUGUUCCAUUGUUCCGGAGAACGGAGUUUUAGUCAUCUUGCCCAAAAGGCACGGUUCGCAAGCAUCAAAUGAUUCAUAACCAAGUGAUUCCGAAAAUCCAUCUUUAUGGAGUUUCUUCAUGCGCUUUACACCGAUAUGACCCAAACGGCAGUGCCACAAAUAAGUUGCACUAUCAUUAUUAACUUUGCAUCUUUUGGCUUCAACAUUAUGAAUAUGUGUAUCACUACGAUCGAGAUCCAACAAACUAUUUUCAUUGGGUGUAUGACCAUCGAAGGUUUUAUUCAUGUAAACAGAACAACAAUUAUUCUUUGACUUUAAAUGAAUAACCGUAUCGCAAUGAACAUGAUCAAAUCAUAUUCAUGUUCAACGCAAACGCCAAACAACAUUUAUUUAGGUUUAACACUAAUCCCGAAAGUAUAGAGAGUGUGCGAUGAUGAUCAUAUCAAUCUUGGAACUACUUCCAACACUCAUCGUCACUUCCCCUUCAACUAGUCUUUGUUUAUUCUGUAACUCCUGUUUCGAGUCACUAAUCUUAGCAACCGAACAAGUAUCAAAUACUCAGGGGCUACUAUAAACACUAGUAAGGCACACAUCAAUAACCUGUAUAUCAAAUAUACUCUUGUUCACCUUGCCAUCCUUCUUAUCCACCAAAUAUUCAGGGCAUUUCCGCUUCUAGUGACCAUUUCCUUUGCAGUAUAAUCACUCGGUUUCGGGCUUUGGUCCAACUUUGGGCUUCUUCGCGGGAGUGACAACUUGCUUGUCAUUCUAGUUGGGGACGUGGGCAUAGCCCAGUGGUUGGGGGCGCAUGAUUGUAAACCUAACGACCAGAGUUCGAUCCACGUCGGGGACGAAUUUCUGGAAUUCUCAUGAGGGAUGCUUCUUCUAUAUCAAUAAAACCGUGGGUGCUAGUGCCCAUGGAGUUUCAUUUUUUUUUCUAGUUGAAGUUCACUUUCUUUCCCUUUGCCCUUUUCUUGAAACUAGUGAUCUUGUCAAUCAUCAACACUUGAUGCUCUUUCUUGAUUUCUACCUUCGUCGAUUUCAACAUCACGAAGAGCUUGGGAAUCACUUUCGUCAUCCCUUGCAUAUUAUAGUUCAUCACGAAGUUCUACUAACUUGGUGAUGGUGACUAGAGAAUUCUGUCAAUCACUAUUUUAUCUGGAAGAUUAACUCCCACUUGAUUCAAGUGAUUGUAGUACCCAGACAAUCUGAGCACAUGCUCACUAGUUGAGCGAUUCUCCUCCAUCUUUUAGCUAUAGAACUUGUUGGAGACUUCAUAUCUCUCAACUCGGGUAUUUGCUUGAAAUAUUAACUUCAAUUCCUGGAACAUCUCAUAUGGUCCAUGACGUUCAAAACGUCUUUGAAGUCCCGAUUCUAAGCCGUAAAGCAUGGUGCACAAAACUAUCAAGUAGUCAUCAUAUUGAGCUAGCCAAACGUUCAUAACGUCUGCAUCUGCUCCUGCAAUAGGUCUGUCACCUAGCGGUGCAUUAAGGACAUAAUUCUUCUGUGCAGCAAUGAGGAUAAACCUCAGAUCACGGAUCCAAUCCGCGUCAUUGCUACUAACAUCUUUCAACACAAUUUUCUCUAGGAACAUAUCAAAACAAACAUAUGAAAGCAACAAUGCAAGCUAUUGAUCUACACCAUAAUUUGCAAAAUACUAUCAGGACUAAGUUCAUGAUAAAUUAAAGUUCAAUUAAUCAUAUUACUUAAGAACUCCCACUUAGAAAGACAUCCCUCUAAUCCUCUAAGUGAUUACGUGAUCCAUAUCAACUACACCAUGUCCGAUCAUCACGUGAGAUGGAGUAGUUUCAACGGCGAACAUCAAUAUGUUGAUCAUAUCUACUAUAUGAUUCACGCUCGACCUUUCGGUCUCCGUGUUCCGAGGCCAUAUCUGUAUAUGCUAGGCUCGUCAAGUUUAACCUGAGUAUUCCGCGUGUGCAACUGUUUUGCACCCGUUGUAUUUGAACGUAGAGCCUAUCACACCCGAUCAUCACGUGGUGUCUCAGCACGAAGAACUUUCGCAACGGUGCAUACUCAGGGAGAACACUUCUUGAUAAUUAGUGAGAGAUCAUCUUAAAAUGCUACCGUCAAUCAAAGCAAGAUAAGAUGCAUAAAGGAUAAACAUCACAUGCAAUCAAUAUAAGUGAUAUGAUAUGGCCAUCAUCAUCUUGUGCUUGUGAUCUCCAUCUUCGAAGCACCGUCGUGAUCACCAUCGUCACCGGCGCGACACCUUGAUCUCCAUCGUAGCAUCGUUGUCGUUAUGCCAUCUAUUGCUUCUACGACUAUCGCUACCGCUUAGAGAUAAAGUAAAGCAAUUACAGGGCGUUUGCAUUUCAUACAAUAAAGCGACAACCAUAUGGCUCCUGCCAGUUGCCGAUAACUUCGGUUACAAAACAUGAUCAUCUCAUACAAUAAAAUAUAGCAUCACGUCUUGACCAUAUCACAUCACAACAUGCCCUACAAAAACAAGUUAGACGUCCUCUACUUUGUUGUUGCAAAUUUUACGUGGCUGCUAUGGGCUUUAGCAAGAACCGUUCUUACCUACGCAUAAAAACCACAACGAUAGUUCGUCAAGUUGGUACUGUUUUAACCUUCGCAAGGACCGGGCGUAGCCACACUCGAUUCAGCUAAAGUGAGAGAGACAGACACCCGCCAGCCACCUUUAAGCACGAGUGCUCGUAACGGAGAAACCAGUCUCGCGUAAGCAUACGCGUAAUGUCGGUCCGGGCCGCUUCAUCUCACAAUACCGCCGAACCAAAGUAUGACAUGCUGGUAAGCAGUAUGACUUGUAUCGCCCACAACUCACUUGUGUUCUACUCGUGCAUAUAACAUCAACGCAUAAAACCUAGGCUCGGAUGCCACUAUUGGGGAACAUAGUAAUUUCAAAAAUUUCCUACGCACACGCAAGAUCAUGGUGAUGGCAUAGCAACGAGAGGGGAGAGUGUUGUCUACAUACCCUUGUAGACGUAAGCGGAAGCGUUAGCACAACGCGGUUGAUGUAGUCGUACGUCUUCACGGCCCGACCGAUCAAGCACCGAAACUACGGCACCUCCGAGUUCUAUCACACGUUCAGCUCGAUGACGUCCCUCGAACUCCGAUCCAGCCGAGUGUCGAGGGAGAAUUCCGUCAGCACGACGGCGUGGUGACGAUCUUGAUGUUCUACCGUCGCAGGGCUUCGCCUAAGCACCGCUACGAUAUUAUCGAGGUGGACUAUGGUGGAGGGGGGCACCGCACACGGCUAAUAGAUCCAAGGGAUCAAUUGUUGUGUCUUUGGUGCUAGCCCUGCCCCUCUAUUUAUAUGUUGAGCCCCGGGGUCGAAACUUGGAGCAAAAGCCUCCUCAAAGUCGGUUUUGCCCGAAAGGCAAGAGUCCCACUCGGACUCCAGGACCAAAUGCCACAAUCCUUGGCGUCUGGCCCAGACGCCAUGGGCCUCGGCGUCUGGCCCAGGACCAGACGCCAGGGUCUCCGGCGUUUGGCCCCCUGGCCUCCGCAAAACUCCUUUUGCACCGACCUAAAGCCUCAUGGGCUUGACCCCUUGGCCUAACCAUAUCAUCCAAUAUAUGAAUCUUUACGUCUCGACCAUUUCGAGACUCCUCGUCAUGUCCCCGAUCUCAUCCGGGACUCCGAACUCCUUCGGUACAUCAAAACAUGUAAACUCAUAAUAUAACUGUCAUCAAAACCUUAAGCGUGCGGACCCUACGGGUUUGAGAACAAUGUAGACAUGACCUAGAACUAUUCUCGGUCAAUAACCAAUAGCGGAACCUGGAUGCUCAUAUUGGCUCCUACAUAUUCUAUGAAGAUCUUUAUCGGUCAAACCGCAUAACAACAUACGCUGUUCCCUUUGUCAUCGGUAUGUUACUUGCCCGAGAUUCGAUCGUCGGUAUCCAAUACCUAGUUCAAUCUCGUUACCGGCAAGUCUCUUUACUCGUUACGUAAUGCAUCAUUCCGUAACUAACUCAUUAGCUACAUUGCUUGCAAGGCUUAUAGUGAUGUGCAUUACCGAGAGGGCCCAGAGAUACCUCUCCGACAAUCGGAGUGACAAAACCUAAUCUCGAAAUACGCCAACCCAACAUGUACCUUUGGAGGCACCUAUAGUACUCCUUUAUAAUCACCCAGUUAUGUUGUGACGUUUGGUAGCACCCAAAGUGUUCCUCCGGUAAACGGGAGUUGCAUAAUCUCAUAGUUACAGGAACAUGUAUAAGUCAUGAAGAAAGCAAUAGCAACAUACUAAACGAUCAAGUGCUAGGCUAACGGAAUGGGUCAUGUCAAUCACAUCAUUCUCCUAAUGAUGUGAUACCGUUAAUCAAAUGAGAACUCAUGUCUAUGGCUAGGAAACUUAACCAUCUUUGAUUCACGAGCUAGUCAAGUAGAGGCAUAGUAGUGACACUAUGUUUGUCUAUGUAUUCACACAUGUAUUAUGUUUCCGGUUAAUACAAUUCUAGCAUGAAUAAUAAACAUUUAUCAUGAUAUAAGGAAAUAAAUAAUAACUUUAUUAUUGCCUCUAGGGCAUAUUUCCUUCACAACUCACCAAAGAGCAACGAAGAAAUUGGCACCCUCCGGAAGUGGACUUCCUAUCCACCUUGUCUCCCGCCCAAUCGGAAUCCGUAAAUCCUUCAAGCUCGAAGUUUUCUCCUCUUGGGUACCAAAGGCCAAAGUUUGGGGUAUGAGCCAAAUAUCGAAAGAUUCGCUUGACCGCCACAAAAUGGCUUUCCUUUGGUGCGGCUUGAAACCGUGCACACAUACCCACACUCAACAUGAUAUCCGGUCUAGAUGCACAAAGGUAAAGCAAGGAUCCAAUCAUAGAGCGAUAUACCUUUUGAUCCACCGCUUUACCAUUGGGAUCAAUGUCAAGUUGGCAUUGGAGUAGAAGCCGGCUGGACAUCACUUAGCUUGAAUCUCUUAAGCAUGUCUUGAGUGUAUUUGGCUUGGUUGAUGAAGGUACCUUCUCUUCUUGUUUGAUAUCAAAACCAAGGAAGAACUUCAACUCUCCCAUUGAAGACAUCUUGAACUUAGAGGUCAUGAGAGCGGAAAAUUCUUCAUUGAAAGCUUUGUUAGGGGAACCAAAGAUAAUGUCAUCAACAUAUAGUUGGCACACAAACAACUCCCCUUUGACCUUCUUAGUAAAAAAAAAGUGGGAUCGAUUUUCCCAACUUCAAAUCCACGAUCUUGUAACAACUCGAUAAGGUGGUCAUACCACGCACGUGGGGCUUGUUUAAGGCCAUAGAGUGCCUUAUCGAGUUGAUACACAUGAUCUGGGAAGUAAGGAUCCUCGAACCCGGGGGGUUGCUUGACAUAAACCAACUCAUUAAUAGGACCAUUAAGAAAAGCACUUUUCACAUCCAUUUGUUGUAACUUAAAGUUAUGAUGGGAAGCAUAAGCAAUCAACAAACGAAUGGAUUCAAGGCGAGCAACGGGAACAAAGGUUUCACCGUAGUCGAUACCCUCGACUUGGGAGUAGCCUUGUGCUACCAAUCUUGCCUUGUUGCGAAUGAUGUUCCCAUGAGCAUCUUGCUUGUUCUUGAAAAUCCACUUGGUUCCAAUGACGUUGUGGUUCCCCGAUGGCCUUGGCACCAAUCUCCAAACCUUGUUGUACUCGAAGUUGUUGAGUUCUUCGUGCAUGGCAUUGAGCCAAUCCGAGUCUUCGAGCGCCUCAUGGACCUUUUGGGGUUCAACACAAGAGACAAACGUGUGAUGUUCACAAUAGUUUGCUAAUUGUCUAUGAGUGCUUACCCCCUUUCUUAGGCUUCCAACCACAUUUUCCAUGAGGUGGCCUUUGGUGGUGAGCUUGGAAGCAAUCUUCGCGGCACAACGCUCUAAUUCCUCCUCGGAUGUGGAAGGAGGAGGGUUAACUUGAUUAUCUUGAGCGUCGUCUUGAGCUUGUUCUUGAUCUUGAGCUUGCUCAUGAUCUUGAACUUGCUCGAGGGGGAGAACUUGACCUUGGGCAUCAUUUGGAGGUUCACCACCAUCUUGAGAUUGAUCUUGCCCUUGGUCUUGUUCACGAGGUUGAGGGCCUACACUUUGUUCUUCGGAAGCGUGUGGGUCUUGAGUAGGUCAAGGCUCCACUUGAGUGGAUCAUUGUCCUUCUCCUUCGGCCACAAGGGGUUCCUCAAUGGGUAGAAUAUUACCAAUACCCAUUCUUCUUAUGGCUUGGGGAGGAAUUUCAUCACCUACAUCACAAGUACCACUUUGCUCCACUUGGGAGCCGUUAUUUUCGUCAAACUCCACGUUACAUGUCUCCUCAAUGAGUCCGGUGGACUUGUUGAGAACACGGUAAGCAUGAGAGUUUGUAGCAUAACCAACAAAUAUGCCCUCAUAAGCUCUAGCCUCAAAUUUAGACAACCGAACACCUUUCUUGAGAAUGAAAUACUUACACCCGAACACCCGGAAGUACUUGAGAUUGGGCUUGUUUCCGGUGAGUAUCUCAUAAGGAGUCUUGUUCAAGCCUUUGUGGAGAUAGAGUCGAUUGGAUGCAUGACAUGCGGUGUUGAUGGCUUCGGCCCAAAAGUUGUAUGGAGACUUGAACUCCGCCAUCAUGGUCCUUGCCGCAUCCAUCAAUGUCCGGUUCUUCCUCUUCGCAACACCAUUUUGUUGAGGGGUAUAUGGUGCAGAAUGUUGAUGCUUGAUCCCCUCAUCACUAAGAAACUCACCCAAGGUGUAGUUCUUGAACUCGGUGCCGUUGUCACUUCUUAUUGUCAAGAUCUUUGCAUUAUGUUGAUGUUGAGCUUCAUUUGCAAAGUCGAUGACGGUUUGUUGAGUCUCACUCUUCCUCUUGAAGAAGUAUACCCAAGUGUAUCUUGAAUAAUCAUCCACAAUCACCAAGCAAUACUUUCUACCCCCAAGACUAUCAAAGGAUGGAGGUCCAAAGAGGUCCAUGUGAAGGAGCUCCAAGGGUCUCUUCGAGUAGAUGAUAGUCGUGGGAGGGUGAGCCGUCUCAUGUAGCUUUCCUUUGAUACAAGCACUGCAAGCAUGAUCUUUGGCAAAACUAACAUUUGUUAGUCCACGGACAUGGUCCCCCUUGAGAAGACUUUGCAAAGAUCUCAUAUUGACGUGGGCUAAACGGCGAUGCCAAAGCCAUCCCACAUCAACUUUAGCCAUUAGGCAUGUCGCGGUCUUAGUGGGUUGCUCCGAAAAGUUAAUCACAUAGAGACCAUUCUCGACAUGCCCAAGAAAGGCCACUUUAAGAGUCUUGCUCCAUAAGAGGGCCACGGUAUCAAUAUCAAAGAAGGUGGCAAAGCCCAUGAGUGCAAGUUGAUGAACGGAAAGUAAAUUGAAUGCAAGGGACUCAACAAGCAUGACUUUCUCGAUCGUUAGAUCAUGAGAAAUGACAACCUUGCCAAGACCCAAUACCUUAGAAUGUGAGGCAUCACCCCACUCGACAUUGGUGGGCAUAGAUGGGAUCUUUUGCACGUCCACCACCAAGUCCUUGCUCCCGGUCAUAUGAUUUGUUGCUCCACUAUCGAGCAACCAUGACCCCCCACCGGAAGCAAACACCUACAAGAGAUCAAUGCUUGGUUUUAGGUACCCAUUUAGUAAUGGGUCCUUUGAUGUUAGUAACAAGGGUCUUAGGCACCCAAAUAGACCAUUCAAUGUACCCAUAAGCAGAACCAACAAAUUUAGCAUAAACAUGCCCAUCACUAGCACGGCACAACACAUAAGAGGGGUUAAAGUCGUCGGCUUUGUUGGGAGAGAUGGCUUUGCCCUUUUUGGCAUCACCACUCUUCGCAUUGUUAUUCUUCUCCUUAGGAGCACCCUCUCCCUCCUUCACAAAAGUUUGCUUAAGCGGGGGAGGUCGUUUGGUCUUGUUAUUCUUCUUCUCGUUCUUCUUCUUAUUCUUGGACUUGGGUGAGAACCCAACUCCCUCCUUGCCCACAACUUCCUUUUGAUUGCUCAAAAAGUCAUUUAGGUUCUUCUCACCUUGUAUGCAUGACACAAGACCUUUCUCAAGUUGUUCCUUCAACUUGGCAUUCUCCUCCACAAGAUGCACAUGCUCACAACACGGGUUAGUAGCAUUUGCAUUAUCAAUUAAGACCAUGUGAGGAAAUGUGGCCUUUUCCUUGGUUAGCUUAACUUGGAGUUGAGCAUGAGACUCCUUGAGGUUUGCAUGAGCACCUUUCAAGACCUUAUGGGCCUUGUCACGUACAUCAAACUCCUCCUUGAGUCUAGCAUGAUCAACCCCAAGUUUAGCCUUCUCGGAAGUUAGCACACGAGACACAACAAGAGCAUGAUCAAUAUCUUUCUUUAAUUUGGCAUGGUCAUCGUUGUGUGACUCCUCAAGAGCCAAAUGAUGCCCACGCUCUUCCUCAAGAGCAUUAGAGAGAUCCGAUAUCUCAUCGGCAUAGUCACGACUAUGACCUUCCAUCUUAGAGAUGGUUUCUUCGUGAGCCUCGAUCAUGUCAUUGGCUUCACCAAGUUGUUCCAAGAGAGCAACGAAGUGCUUCUUGGAUUUGCCCUUGAGCUUACUCAUGAAGGACUCAAAUUCAUUUACCUCCUCAUUAGACCCCUUACCAUCAUCAAAGCCAAUGGUCAAAGAAGGAUUAGGAAUAGUGGUGGUUUUGAUGUUGGGGGUUACCUUGUUGGUGGCUUUGGCCAUGAGGCACUUGGCGGUGAUGUUCUCGUUGGGUGAGUCGAAGAGAGACACCCGGGGAGUUGUGGCAAUGGCAACGGAUGCCAUAGCCAUUGCUUCACUAUCUUCAUCAUCAUCGUCAUCCUCAUGGUAUUCUUCUUGAACCACCAACCCGCGAGUAGGAGUCUUCUUGGUGAAGUUGUUCUUGUUGGGGAAGGACUUGGCUUUGUCCUUUUGGAUGAACUUUCCACCAUUGUCUUCCCGCUUCUCGUAAGGACAAUCCGCAACGAAAUGGCUCACAUUGCCACAGUUGAAACAAGUUCUAACUCGUUGCUUGCCCUUGAGUCCACUUGAGUUGUUCUUGUUGAAGUUGGGUCUUGUAUUCUUCUUGCUCCAAAAUUGUCUUGAGGCAAGAGCCAUGUGCUCAUGAUAAUCAUAUUUCGUGUCUUCGAGGUUGCUCUCCUCAUCUUCCUCUUCUUCCUCUUCUUCCACACUAACCUUGGCCUUCAAGGCAAGGUUGGGCUUCUUUGCCCUUUGAGAACGGAGCACCGCAUUAUCGGCGGUCUUGUCCAAGAUGCUCAUUGCAACGAACUCAUCCAACACUUCACUUGAGGUCAUGGAGUGGAAGUCCGGUCUUUGACGAAUGACGGAGGACAUGGCCUUGUUGUAGGGCAUCAUGGCCUUGAGGAACUUGCGCUUGAUCAAAUUGUCAUCCGUGUCCUUGCUCCCAUGAUCUCGGAGUGUGACCGCGAGUUUGGUCACUCUUCGAAAGAGCUCACGAGGUUCUUCAUCUUCUUUCAUUGCAAACUCAUCGGCUUCAUCUUGCACCACUUCAUAGUUGGAGCGUUGAAUGAUAGCACUUCCUCGAUAGAGAGACACAACACAUUGCCAUGCGUCUUUAGCCAUGGCAUGAGGUCGGAGAUGAGGGAGAUCUUCGGGAAGGAUUGCAUCUUGGAUGAUGAAGAGAGCACUCUCAUUGAAUUGAUUAUCCACGGCUUCUCGAUGGGUGAAGUUGCUUGGGUCAUGUGGAUAGAAACCUUCUUCUAUGAUUCUCCAAAGAUUAGUAUUCACAUGUUUUAAAUGACGCUUGAAACGAUAAACCCAAGCAUCAAAAUCCUCAUUUUUCACAAUCUUAGGAGGAGGACCGGCAUGAUUUAAAUGAGUAGAGGGAAUCGGUCCACCAUAAGUAGGAGGUUCCACAUGGGCAUAGAUGCCGGUGCCAUUUCUACCACUAGUAGAAGGACCCUUCUCACUAUUAGCUUCCCCCUUGUCGGAAUUAGCAUCCGUCACCUUGUUAGUGGGAUCACCCACUUUCAUCGGCGAGGUGGAUAGUUUAAGUCCUUCUAGGAAUUUAGUAAACAUGCUUUCAACCUCGGUCGUCAUGGAGGUUUUCAAUGUGUCUAAAGCCACAUUGAACUCCUCACGGGAGACAGAGGUUCCCCCAUCGGCCGUAGACGAGAUAGGAUUCACACCGGAGCGCUCCUCCGCACCGUUGUUGGUGUCAACCAUACUCUUCGGACGGCAAAGUCCUUAAUAAAGAGACGAGGCUCUGAUACCAAUUGAAAGGAUCGAUAUGGUUGACUAGAGGGGGGGUGAAUAGGCAACUAACAAUUUUUAAGCUUUUCUUUAACAAUUUAAACCUUGCAACAAAAUAGGUUGUCUAGAUAUGCAACUAUGUGGACAACCUAUAUGAUGCAAAGACAACUAGCACACAAGCAAGCAAUAGAUGCAACACAAGUAAGCUUGCAAAAGUAAAGGCACGAAAUAACCAAGAGUGGAGCCAGUGGAGACGAGGAUGUGUUACCGAAGUUCCUUCCUUUUAAGGGGAAGUAUGUCUUCGUUAGAGCGGUGUGGAGGCACAAUGCUCCCCAAGAAGCCACUAGGGCCACCAUAAUCUCCUCACGCCCUCACACAAUGCGAGAUGUCGUGAUUCCACUAUUAGUGCCCUUGAAGGCGGCGACCGAGCCUUUACAAACAAGGUUGGGGCUAUCUCCACAACACUUGGAGGCUCCCAACAACACCACGAAGCUUCACCACAAUGGAGUAUGGCUUCGAGGUGACCUCAACCGUCUAGGGUGCUCAAACACCCAAGAGUAACAAGAUCUGCUAGGGAUUAGUGGGGGAAAUCAAAUUUCUCUUGGUGGAAGUGUAGAUCGGGGCCUUCUUAACCAAUCCCGAGCAAAUCAACAAGUUUGAUUGGCUAGGGAGAGAGAUCGGACAAAAAUGGAGCUUGGAGCAACAAUGGAGCUUUUGGGGGAAGAGGUAAGUCAACUUUGGGGAAGAAGACACCUUUAUAUAGUGGGGGAAACAAUCCAACCGUUACCCCCCCCCCCCAAAGAGCCACGCACAGAGCGGUACUACCGCUUGGGCAGGACGGUACUACCGCUGAUAAGCGGUACUACCGCUCCCUCCCAGCGGUACUGCCGCGCUGACGAGGGAUGCAGGGUCCUGGCCCCAGAGCGGUACUACCGCGGAAGUAUUGGCGGUACUACCGCUUGGAGCGGUACUACCGCCACUACUACCGCUACUAGUACCGUAAAACCCGACACGAAAAACAAUGGUUGAGAGUCGAGGCGGUAGUAGCCCGGAACCACUGCGGUACUACGGCCGAAGACCGCAAGCGGUACUACCGCUCGGGGAGCGGUACUACCGCUUGACGUGCUUCGGCGGUACUACCGCUGAGGACCGCAGUACUACCGCUGGGACAGGACAGGCAGGCAUAGAUAGGAAAGAUAGCUCCAAUGAAGCAGAAAGAAGCAUCCGUUGUGAUAAGGAUGUGUACGUGUUGAUUCCACCCUAGCAUUACCAAAGCGGAUCCCCUCUUGAUAGUACGGUGACUCCUACGAAACUAGACCACCAGCAGAGAAACGAAGGAGCUACACCGUCUUGAAUAAAACACCGAGGGGAGGUAAUCGUCUCGUGCCAAAGGAUGAAUCUCUAAAAGAACUCAACGCACAUGAUUAGUCCGCAAAAGCAUUGUCAUCAAUCACCAAAACAUCUUGGGGAUAAGUAUGCCCUUACACCUCCGUCCCAAAAUAAGUGUCUCAGACACUUAUUUCGGGACGGAGGGAGUAAUAGUUACUCCCUCCGUUCCUAAAUAUAAGUCUUCGUAGAGGUUCCACUAUGGAUCACAUACGGAUGUAUAUAGAUGCAUUUUAGAGUGUAGAUUCACUCAUUUUGCUUCGUAUGUAGUUCGUAGUGGAAUCUCUACAAAGACUUAUAUUUAGGAACGGGUGGAGUAUCAUAGAUCAUAGAUGGUGCAAUGCUGUUCCGGUACAUUUUUUUAGUUUGGCAUUGGUGAAUAAGAUGCAAUGAAAAUUUACAAGGAUAAGUACAAAUCCAGAGCCUCGGAGGUGGUAGUAUAUAGUUGCAUCUACCAACUUGCACAUAGGACACCUAUGGUCUAUGGCAGUUGGUUGAUGCUUUGGAUGAAUUUACUGGUGGUGUGGUCUUUGGUUAGUCACUAGUGUUCAAGUUGAUAUCUCGAGUUUGUGAAGAUGAGCAGAAGAGCCAGAUAUGGGUUGCGGAGGAUGGCACUGUGGAGAAAUAUAACGCUCGUUUGAGGUUGUCCUCCUACUCUGAAACAAUCCACAAUUAGCUGGCAAAAACUUCAACAUCCUCGAAAGAGAAUCGGCACAAACACAUUAUAAAUAGCGAUGCCAGCAUACAAAUAGACCAAUUGAAGGGCUCCUUUGAUUCAAAGGAAUUGCAUACAGGUUUUAUAGGAUUGGAUCCUAUAGAAAAAUGUCCUAUCUUUGUACUACUUUCUAUAGGAAAUCUAGCAAUCACUAGAACCUCUUUCUAGAAUUUCUUUGAUGGAAUCAAAAGAAUUUUGGUGCUGAGCUGGCGGUUUCUUGGAGAGACGGUGAGAGUUUACUCUUUCCUGUGGUUUUCUUUGGGGUAUGGAGUUAAUUCAAGUGUUUAUUACCUAGAGUAGAACAAAAGAUGUGUCCAAUUUGAGUUAUUAUGGAUGUUUUGGGUUAUUUCAAGUUAGUAGUACUAAGAAAAGAUCGAUUUAUUGUCUCUUGCAGCUGUCAUUAUACUACCACUGCUAGCAUUAAUUAUUGAAGGGUUUCUAUUUCGGUUUAGGGCUAUUUCAAGCGAUAAAUCACGAGUGGACAUGCAGCCACGCGAGGUCGAAAUCAAAACUGUCCAUUCCCAUGUGAUUCGUGCAACUUUAAUACAUCAAGUGCGUAUAUUAAAUUUCAUCCACGGUAUACAAAUGGUAUAGCUCGCUCAUUACCUCUGACCUUGCCAGGAGAUGGCCCACAAGUCAGCCUCAUGCAUUGAAACAACAUUGAAUAGCUUUUAUCCAUCCAUGCAAACUCAUGACAGGAGAAUGCCCUGCGUACAAGCCAACCACCAAAAACACCUUCGGCUUAACCCAUUUGUUUAAUGAGCCACAAAUUAAUUCUGUUGUAAACGGAUGGCAGGACAUCAAGGCACCCAACAUCUUUUAAAUGCAACACGCGGGCCAUAACAUGCAGGCCAUCCCUGGUCCAACCCACAGCUCCUUUCUCAUUCAUCCUGCUUCUCUAGUUCUUGCAUUCUAGAGCCUAGAACUCAUCCAUAGAGAUAUGGAGCUCUUUUGGAAGAAAAAAAUAAAGAUGUAGAAUUGUAGUUGUACAGAUGUGUCACUCAAUGCCUAAGAGUACUUCACCGGCUCGUCCAACAACAAUACUUUAUGCUCAUGUCCCAGGUUCAUUUAUGAAAAGGAUUAACAUGGUAGAGCAAAGCAUGAAAAAACCAUGUUAGAACACAUUCAAGCCUGGAGUGGUAGAUGACAGGAUAAAACAUGAAGUCUCCAUUGAUGUGGUAUAUGUACUAGAUGUAAUAUGUAAUACAUUUAACUCGGCAGAUGUAUAAACACAUCGAACAACAUAUCCAUCAACGGAAAAAAUAUAUUGCAAGCCUCAUACGUAGAAACAACAAUUCAAGUAAAAACAAUUGAGCCCAAAACACUGCACCACAUCACUUGUAUUUACAGUUCAGUACAACACCACGUUAUGAGGAUCUGCACAUUCACUCGAAUUGGCAGAGUAGCAAUAAAAGACACCACCAUUAAAAACGCAUUUAAGAUGCCUAGCUCAACCCACAUGUAUCACAGACGCGUAUCUCCAAAUUAACCAACGGUAUCAUUUUGGUAUUCAAUAAUUUACUAUAUUAAAUACUAAUCUCAUAGCACAUAUGAACAACCGAGAUUUCAUCCUCACGUAGCACCAUGUCCCAAAAAUCCGCGUCCCUAUUUCAAGUUACUACUAAGAUCGAUUUAUUGUCUCUUCCAACUCCCAUUAUGCUACUAGCAGCAUUGUUUCUAUUUCAUAAUUGUGCCUUGAAAUUCCAAUGUUAUUUGUGAAAAAUGUUGCUUUGCUGAAACACAUAAGUUUAUUUACAUAAUUCAGAUCUUUUUUUGGUCACAGUCAAGUUUUUAUUGUUUAGUAAAUCAACAAAACCAUAUCAUGCAAUCACAAAUUUAGUACAAAAUCAUUGUUUUCUUAGGGGUGAUAUAAAUGUUCUCAUCGUUCUAUAUUAGUUGUUGAUGAUUUAGUACAACUUGAUUUAGCACAAAGACGUACUAAAUCAGCGAGAACUAAUAUGGAACGUAGGGAGUAAGUUUUUCUUUUGUAUUGGAAAAAUUUCCUAAGCUACCAAACAAGGCCUAAAGAAGUUUUCUGGAUCGUCAUGUUUUUCUGAGUUGAUUGACAUUGUCUACGAGAAACGUUACUGGUUCCAUGGAUGUACUAUGUAAUAAGAGUUAUAAUAGAUCACAGAUGGUGCAAUUCUGUUGCAGUACAUUUUUUAAGUUUGGCAUUAGUGAAUGAGAUGCAAUGAAAAUUUACAAGGAUAUGUACAAAUUUAGAGCCUCGGAGGUGGUAGUAUAUAGCUGCAUCUACCAUCUUGCACAUAGGACACCUAUGGUCUAUGGACAGUUGGUUGAUGCUCUGGAUGAAUUUACUGGCGUUGUGGUCUUUGGUUAGUCACUAGUGUUCAAGUUGAUAUCUCGAGUUUGUGAAGAUGAGAAAUAUAACGCUCGUUUGAGGAUGUCCUCCUACUCCGACACAAUCCACAAUUAGCUGACAAAAGCUUCCAACAUCCUCCAAAGAGAAUCGGCACAAACACAUUACAAAUAGAGAUGCCAGCAUACAAAUAGAACAAUUUAAGGGCUCCUUUGAUUCCAAAGGAAUUGCAUACAAGUUUUAUAGGAUUGGAUCCUAUAGAAAAAUUUCCUAUCUUUGUACUACUCCCUCCAUCCGGAAAAACUUGUCCCUCAAAUGGAUGUAUCUAGCACCAAGUUAGUGCUAGAUAUAUCCAUUUGACAAACAAGCUUGGGACAAGUUUUUCCGGACGUAGGGAGUACUUUCCAUAGGAAAUCUACUAGCAAUCACUACACCUCUUUUUAGAAUUUCUUUCAGGGAAUCAAAAGAAUUUUGGUGCAUACAAAAUCAUGUAGGACUGGAGUGGGUAAGACAUUGCAAUCCCCUAUCCUAUGUACUCUCACAACACAGAACUGUGUGUCAGGAACAAGAGAUUCUUAUCAGUGCGCAACCUUGUGACGUUAACAAUUGACAAAUCAAGAUAUUAGGUUUCUGCCAGAAAUGGAUGCUGUAACGGGGGUAUGGGGUGCAAGUUCACACCGUGGCAGGGCUUUCUACAGCAAUACGUCUUCUGAAAACAUACAACAAUCGCAUGUACAAAACCCCGACAAGCUACAUAACCGAAUAAACAGCUGGGUAUCAAGUAAUCAAACAAAGCAAGUAACAAUAAAACAAAGGCACCAAUCUGACAUAAAUAUCUUAAAAAGAUUGGUCUUCUCAAAAUAGAAACCACGGGCUUAAUUCCAAAAUCCAACACUAUGGCCAUAGAUAGCUCUAAAGGUACGGACUGGUAAUACAGGACAGAGUUUUGGGAUAAAAUUCACCGACUAGCCACGCUCUAUUUCUUCUUGUCACCAGCACCACCACCACCA